GAAGAAGAAGAAGAGGAAGAAGAAUACUGCGAUGAGGACAAAUAAUAAGGUUUCUUUGUGAUUGAUAGUUUGAGUGCCACUAGUUUUGUGACAAAUUGGCAAUGCAUGGGUGUAAUUUACAACUAAAACUAAUACUUUUUGUUUUUUUGUCAAAACUGAAUCAAGGCUGCAUUUUUUUUUUCAAAACUGAAUAAGAUUAUGCUUUAGUUUGUCAUCCAAGAGAAAUCAAUCGGUCAUUAUUAGAUUAGUAUCUCAGUGACCGAGUAUAAUGGUGGUGAGGCUUCUUCAUUGUCUGCAAUCCACAUCUGCUUAUCUGUAUCUGGUAGAGAUAGGAAUAGAUAUAUAAUGCAAACAAUUUAAGGUUUGUUUGUUUUGUAGAAAAUAAU
rnacentral:misc_RNA from 1 species